GGGAAUACCCGUAGACCUUGCUUGAUUCUGCUUAUAGACAGGCAGGGGGGACAGUGUAUGCAAGAGAAAUCUGGAGUUCAUGCCAGCUCUUGUCAGCUUAAUGGGUAGCUGAAUAAAUUGCAGCAGUACUCCUACAUUU